CCAUGGCAUGCUCAGUAGCGGCGAGUGAGCGGCAAAAGCUCAAAUUUGAAAUCUGGCGUCUUUGGCGUCCGAGUUGUAAUUUGAAGAAGGUAUCUUUGGGCCCGGCUCUUGUCUAUGUUCCUUGGAACAGGACGUCACAGAGGGUGAGAAUCCCGUGCGAUGAGAUGACCCGGGUCUGUGUAAAGUUCCUUCGACGAGUCGAGUUGUUUGGGAAUGCAGCUCUAAGUGGGUGGUAAAUUCCAUCUAAAGCUAAAUAUUGGCGAGAGACCGAUAGCGAACAAGUACAGUGAUGGAAAGAUGAAAAGAACUUUGAAAAGAGAGUGAAAAAGUACGUGAAAUUGUUGAAAGGGAAGGGCUUGAGAUCAGACUUGGUAUUUUGCAUGCUGCUCUCUCGGGGGCGGCCGCUGCGGUUUACCGGGCCAGCAUCGGUUUGGAGCGGCAGGAUAAUGGCGGAGGAAUGUGGCACGGCUUCUGCUGUGUGUUAUAGCCUCUGACGAUGCUGCCAGCCUAGACCGAGGACUGCGGUUUUUAACCUAGGAUGUUGGCAUAAUGAUCUUAAGUCGCCCGUCUUAACUCGGGAACAAUUUG
rnacentral:rRNA from 1 species